UACGUAGGGUGCGAGCGUUGUCCGGAAUUAUUGGGCGUAAAGAGCUUGUAGGCGGUUUGUCGCGUCUGCUGUGAAAAUCCGGGGCUCAACCCCGGACUUGCAGUGGGUACGGGCAGACUAGAGUGUGGUAGGGGAGACUGGAAUUCCUGGUGUAGCGGUGAAAUGCGCAGAUAUCAGGAGGAACACCGAUGGCGAAGGCAGGUCUCUGGGCCACUACUGACGCUGAGAAGCGAAAGCAUGGGGAG
rnacentral:rRNA from 1 species